rnacentral:rRNA from 1 species
UGGGGAAUAUUGCGCAAUGGGCGAAAGCCUGACGCAGCUACGCCGCGUGGGUGAUGAAGGCCUUCGGGUUGUAAAGCCCUGUCGGGAGGGACGAAGUUCUGACGGUACCUCCCAAGAAAGCACCGGCUAACUCCGUGCCAGCAGCCGCGGUAAUACGGAGGGUGCAAGCGUUGCUCGGAAUCAUUGGGCGUAAAGCGUACGCAGGCUGUUCGUUAAGUCGGGUGUGAAAGCCCGGGGCUCAACCCCGGAACUGCGCCCGAAACUGGCGAGCUUGAGUGCGGGAGAGGGAAGCGGAAUUCCUGGUGUAGAGGUGAAAUUCGUAGAUAUCAGGAGGAACACCGGUGGCGAAAGCGGCUUCCUGGCCCGACACUGACGCUCAUGUACGAAAGCGUGGGGAGCAAACAG